UAAAUAAAUAAAUAUUCAUUAUAUAAAACACAAGUAUACCAAAAUUGUACCAUCAAAAUAUUAGUACAUGAAAGAGUAUUUCAACAGUAAUAUCCAAAAGAUUCAAGUUUGAUCCUACUAAAUAAUCUUUAAUUCACACUUCACUACUUUCAUCUUCAUAUCUUCUUGGUUCAAACUGGAGAUGGUUCACCACUUUCCAAAUUUGGUGCCUGAAAAAAGAAGCAAAAUACAGUCAAUAAGCAAAUAACUAAAAUUUUAAUGUAGCAAGAGAACUUAUGAUCUAAGUACAGAAAUUUAAUUCUAUCAAUCAUUAGUGAAAACACGAAUCACCAACAAUAUGUACUUAAUUUGAAGUAUAGCUUUCUUCUAUUAACUGUAGACAAUCCUUCAAAAUGCACCUCUUGCGAUAAAGUGAAUAUUUCCAUCAUGAGAUGCUGAAAACAGAACCCCAUUUUUACUACUACAAAUCAAUUCAUUUUAUAGCAUCAUCAUGUGCUUUAAUUGAUUCUAAGCUGUUCAAAUCAGAAAUUCUCAGCUCUUUUUGAAACUUCCCAAACACGAAUUCUACUAUCUUGAUGUGCUGUAAAAUUUUUAUUACCAACAGUAACAAGUGCUUUUACAACAACAAUAACCCAACCCAGUAUAAUCCCACUUAGUGGGAUUUGGGGAGGGUAGUGUACACGCAGAACUUACCCCUACCCUUGGGUAGAGAAGCUGUUCCAAAUAGACCCCCAGUAUCCUUCCCUCCAAGAACUUCCCACAUUGUUCUUGGGGAGACUCGAACUCACAACCUCUCGGUUGGAAGUAGGGGUAGCUUACCAUCAGAACAACCCCUCUUAUCUAAGUGCUUUUACAACCCAUCCCUAAAAUAAAACAAGGGACAUAAUCCCCUCCAAAACAACAAGAAUGAAUAAUACUGAACUAAUAGAUGCUAAUUGAAUUGAAAGUCCAUAUAAGAACGCAAAUGUAAUAAACACACUAGUAUAUUUCCUGUAAUAACCUCCUACUUUCAACUACUCAGAAUACUUGAAACACGUGAUAAUGAUAGAAAUGAGUUUCCAAUUGUAUAUUUACAAGAAAGAGGUAUCUUUUAAAUUACCAGAAUCUUCUUUGCUCAACCAAAAGCUAUUUGAAGUACUAAGAAUCAAUAAUCGAAAUAGGAUAGCUGAUUGUGGCUGCCAAUCCCUGGAAAAUCAUACUUUUAGAUUUUACAAGAUAAAGAACAUGAAGUUGGGCAUUUCAUAUUUCUUGCCCUAGAUGCAGGGUUUGUGCAACAUGAGUCAAGAGUUA
rnacentral:lncRNA from 1 species